rnacentral:rRNA from 1 species
AGAGUUUGAUCAUGGCUCAGGACGAACGCUGGCGGCGUGCUUAACACAUGCAAGUCGAACGGAAAGGCCCUUCGGGGUACUCGAGUGGCGAACGGGUGAGUAACACGUGGGUGAUCUGCCCUGCACUUUGGGAUAAGCCUGGGAAACUGGGUCUAAUACCGAAUAUGACCAUGCACUUCCUGGUGUGUGGUGGAAAGCUUUUGCGGUGUGGGAUGGGCCCGCGGCCUAUCAGCUUGUUGGUGGGGUAAUGGCCUACCAAGGCGACGACGGGUAGCCGGCCUGAGAGGGUGACCGGCCACACUGGGACUGAGAUACGGCCCAGACUCCUACGGGAGGCAGCAGUGGGGAAUAUUGCACAAUGGGCGCAAGCCUGAUGCAGCGACGCCGCGUGAGGGAUGACGGCCUUCGGGUUGUAAACCUCUUUCAGCACAGACGAAGGGCAAGUGACGGUAUGUGCAGAAGAAGGACCGGCCAACUACGUGCCAGCAGCCGCGGUAAUACGUAGGGUCCGAGCGUUGUCCGGAAUUACUGGGCGUAAAGAGCUCGUAGGUGGUUUGUCGCGUUGUUCGUGAAAACUCACAGCUUAACUGUGGGCGUGCGGGCGAUACGGGCAGGCUUGAGUACUGCAGGGGAGACUGGAAUUCCUGGUGUAGCGGUGGAAUGCGCAGAUAUCAGGAGGAACACCGGUGGCGAAGGCGGGUCUCUGGGCAGUAACUGACGCUGAGGAGCGAAAGCGUGGGGAGCGAACAGGAUUAGAUACCCUGGUAGUCC